rnacentral:rRNA from 1 species
GACGAACGCUGGCGGCGUGCUUAACACAUGCAAGUCGAACGGAAAGGCCCCUUUGGGGGUACUCGAGUGGCGAACGGGUGAGUAACACGUGAGUAACCUGCCCUUGACUUCGGGAUAACUUCAGGAAACUGGGGCUAAUACCUGAUAGGAAUCCUUGCUGCAUGGUGGGGGUUGGAAAGCUUCGGCGGUUUUGGAUGGACUCGCGGCUUAUCAGCUUGUUGGUGGGGUAGUGGCUUACCAAGGCUUUGACGGGUAGCCGGCCUGAGAGGGCGACCGGCCACAUUGGGACUGAGAUACGGCCCAGACUCCUACGGGAGGCAGCAGUGGGGAAUAUUGCACAAUGGGCGGAAGCCUGAUGCAGCAACGCCGCGUGCGGGAUGACGGCCUUCGGGUUGUAAACCGCUUUCAGCAGGGGCGAAGCUUGUGGUGACGGUACCUGCAGAAGAAGCACCGGCUAACUACGUG